UAUCAUUUUCCAUGUUUUUCAUUGUAACUCAUUGAUAUACACUGUUCUACAAAUCCCGUUUCCAACGAAUGUGUUUUUCAGUGUAACUCACUCAUCUAAUACGUUCUGCAGUGUGGUUUUUAUCAUUUUCGAUGUUUUUCAUUGUAACUCAUUGAUAUACACUGUUCUACAAAUCCCGUUUCCAACGAAUGUGUUUUUCAUUGUAACUCACUCAUCUAAUAUGUUCUACAGUGUGGUUUUUAUCAUUUUCCAUGUUUUCAUUGUAAGUCAUUGAUAUACACUAUUCUACAAUGCCGGUUUCCAACGUAUGUGUUUUUCAGUGUAACUCUCAUUUUCCAUGUUGAUAUACACUGUUCUACAAUGCCGGUUUCCAACGAAUGUGUUUUUCAGUGUAACUCACACAUCUAAUAUGUUCUACAGUGUGGUUUUUAUCAUUUUCCAUGUUUCUCAUUGUAACUCAUUGAUAUACACUGUUCUAAAAAAUCCCGUUUCCAACGAAUGUGUUUUUCAGUGUAACUCACUCAUCUAAUAUGUUCUACAGUGUUGUUUUUAUCAUUUUCCAUGUUUCUCAUUGUAACUCAUUGAUAUACACUGUUCUACAAUGCCGGUUUCCAAC
rnacentral:lncRNA from 1 species